ensembl:snRNA U6 U6 spliceosomal RNA
GUGCUUGCCUUAGUAGCACCUAUAGUAAAAUUGGAACAAUACAAGGAAGAUGAGCAUGACCCCUGCACAAGGAUGGCAUGCAAAUUCAUGAAGCAUUAUGUAUAUUU